GAUGAACGCUAGCGGCAGGCCUAAUACAUGCAAGUCGAACGGUGUCUUCGGACAUAGUGGCGCACGGGUGCGUAACACGUAUGCAACCUACCUUACAUUGGGGGAUAGCCUUUCGAAAGGGAGAUUAAUACCGCAUAAGACAGUAGCUGGGCAUCCAGCAGCAGUUAAAGAUUUAUCGAUGUAAGCUGGGCAUGCGUCCAAUUAGCUAGUUGGUGAGGUAACGGCUCACCAAGGCAAUGAUUGGUAGGGGAACUGAGAGGUCAAUCCCCCACACUGGCACUGAGAUACGUGCCAGACUCCUACGGGAGGCAGCAGUAGGGAAUAUUGGGCAAUGGACGCAAGUCUGACCCAGCCAUGCCGCGUGCAGGAUGAAGGCGUUAUGCGUUGUAAACUGCUUUUAUACAGGAAGAAACGACUCUUGCGAGAGGCAUUGACGGUACUGUAUGAAUAAGCACCGGCUAACUCCGUGCCAGCCGCCGCGGUAAAAC
rnacentral:rRNA from 1 species